GGAGUAAUYUAAACGGCCGCGGAAUUUUAACCGUGCUAAGGUAGCAUAAUCAUUUGUCUUUUAAUUUAAGACUUGUAUGAAUGGUUUAACGAAAUAUAGCUAUCCCUAAAAUAUUACAUAAAAAUUAUUCUUAAAGUGAAAAAACUUUAAUAUAGUAAAAAGACAAAAAGACCCUAUAGAGUUUAAUUUAUUACUAUAAAAAAUACUUAUAAAUUUAGUUGGGGCAACUGAUGAAAAAAAAAAUUUCUUUUAGCCAAAUAAAUAUAUAAUCAUUAAUUUAAUAACAUAAAACAAAUUACCUUAGGGGUAACAGCAUAAAUUUUUUUUGAGAGUCCAAAUCGAAAAAAAAAAUUAU
rnacentral:rRNA from 1 species